CACUAUGCCCAGCCUUAAACAUUGACAGUUAAUUACACCCACUGUCCGCCCGGGUACUACGAGCGCUAGCUUAAAACCCAAAGGACUUGGCGGUGCUUUAGACCCACCUAGAGGAGCCUGUUCUAGAACCGAUAAUCCCCGUUAAACCUCACCCUUCCUUGUUCUUUCCCGCCUAUAUACCACCGUCGUCAGCUUACCCUGUGAAGGCCCUAUAGUAAGCACAAUCGGCAAUGCCCAAUACGUCAGGUCGAGGUGUAGCGAAUGGAAGGGGAAGAAAUGGGCUACAUUUACUAAUAUAGUAAAUACGGAUGAUCACCCUGCAACGAGUAUCUGAAGGAGGAUUUAGCAGUAAGCAAAAAAUAGAGCGUUUUGCUGAAAUUGGCCCUGAAGCGUGCACACACCGCCCGUCACUCUCCCCGAACUAAGAUCUAAAACAUAACUAAUAUGCUAUAAC
rnacentral:rRNA from 1 species